AACUAACGCUGGCGGCGUGCCUAACACAUGCAAGUCGUACGAGAAAGUUGGCUUCGGCCGAUGAGUACAGUGGCGCACGGGUGAGUAGCGCGUGGGUAAUCUGCCCCCCGGUCAGGAAUAACCCGCCGAAAGGCGGGCUAAUACCCGAUAACACUGACGCUCCGCGGAGCGUCUUUCAAAGGAGGCCUCUGUUUACAAGCUUUCGCCGGAGGAUGAGCCCGCGUACCAUUAGCUAGUUGGCAGGGUAAUGGCCUACCAAGGCUGCGAUGGUUAGCUGGUCUGAGAGGAUGGCCAGCCACACUGGAACUGAGAGACGGUCCAAACUCCUACGGGAGGCAGCAGUGGGGAAUAUUAGGCAAUGGGGGAAACCCUGACCCAGCAACGCCGCGUGAGGGAAGAAGGUUUUCGGAUUGUAAACCUCUGUUCUUGGAGAAGAGGAGAAGACGGUAUCCAAGGAGGAAGCCCCGGCUAACUACGUG
rnacentral:rRNA from 1 species